rnacentral:rRNA from 1 species
UAACACUAACUGGAGGACCGAACCGACUAAUGUUGAAAAAUUAGCGGAUGACCUGUGGCUGGGGGUGAAAGGCCAAUCAAACCGGGAGAUAGCUGGUUCUCCCCGAAAGCUAUUUAGGUAGCGCCUCGUGAAUUCAUCUCCGGGGGUAGAGCACUGUUUCGGCUAGGGGGCCAUCCCGGCUUACCAACCCGAUGCAAACUGCGAAUACCGGAGAAUGUUAUCACGGGAGACACACGGCGGGUGCUAACGUCCGUCGUGAAGAGGGAAACAACCCAGACCGCCAGCUAAGGUCCCAAAGUCAUGGUUAAGUGGGAAACGAUGUGGGAAGGCCCAGACAGCCAGGAUGUUGGCUUAGAAGCAGCCAUCAUUUAAAGAAAGCGUAAUAGCUCACUGGUCGAGUCGGCCUGCGCGGAAGAUGUAACGGGGCUAAACCAUGCACCGAAGCUGCGGCAGCGAACGUAUCACCCAAGACAACUUUACGGAGUUGACGAUUGACGGAGCGAAGCGACGUCAAAGCGUUCAUUAAAGUCGAGUUGGCUUAGGGAUACGUUCGUUGGGUAGGGGAGCGUUCUGUAAGCCUGUGAAGGUGUGUCGUGAGGCAUGCUGGAGGUAUCAGAAGUGCGAAUGCUGACAUAAGUAACGAUAAAGCGGGUGAAAAGCCCGCUCGCCGGAAGACCAAGGGUUCCUGUCCAACGUUAAUCGGGGCAGGGUGAGUCGACCCCUAAGGCGAGGCCGAAAGGCGUAGUCGAUGGGAAACGGGUUAAUAUUCCCGUACUUGGUGUUACUGCGAAGGGGGGACGGAGAAGGCUAUGUUGGCCGGGCGACGGUUGUCCCGGUUUAAGCGUGUAGGUGUGUGUUCCAGGUAAAUCCGGUUCACUUUAACACUGAGGCGUGACGACGAGGCACUACGGU